rnacentral:rRNA from 1 species
CCUACGGGAGGCUGCAGUGGGGAAUAUUGCACAAUGGGGGAAACCCUGAUGCAGCGACGCCGCGUGAGUGAAGAAGUAUUUCGGUAUGUAAAGCUCUAUCAGCAGGGAAGAAAUAAAGUCCUUUGGACUUUGGACGGUACCUGACUAAGAAGCCCCGGCUAACUACGUGCCAGCAGCCGCGGUAAUACGUAGGGGGCAAGCGUUAUCCGGAUUUACUGGGUGUAAAGGGAACGCAGGCGGUCUUUUAAGUCUGAUGUGAAAGCCUUCGGCUUAACCGGAGUAGUGCAUUGGAAACUGGGAGACUUGAGUGCAGAAGAGGAGAGUGGAACUCCAUGUUUAGCGGUGAAAUGCGUAGAGAUCGGGAGGAACACCAGUGGCGAAGGCGGCCUGCUGGGCUUUAACUGACGCUCAGGCACGAAAGCAUGGGUAGCAAACAGGAUUAGAUACCCUUGUAGUC